AAGGAAGUUCUUGAUGCAGUGUAUGCAUUCACUGUAAAUAUUCACUGUAACAUACACUUAGCCCAGUUCUGGUUUUAUUCUCAUGCAAAUCUGGGAGUUUAUCCAGCAUAAAGUAGGUGAAACUAAGUUGAUGUUUAGGCCCUUAGUAUGAAAAGAAGUAAUAACAAACAUUUAUGCAGUCGCCACACUUGACUUCAGGAAGAAGCUUUAGAUAAGGUUCUGUUUGUAUAGUAGCUGUGGUGUUUUGUUGUGGUUUUUUUAAUAGAACUUCAUAGCUGGAAAAUACAUUAAUCUCGUUAUCCAAGAGGAUUUUAUCAAAAAAAGAAAAAGAAAACGAUGGUUAAAGCUGAGCCUUGCUCACAGGUCUUUAAUGCCGUUGUAAGUGGAAGGUGAGAUCCUUUUCUUGUGAGGAUGUGUUAAUAUUUUUCCUUUUUUUCUUUUUUUUUGACAGGAUUUGAUUAACACGGUUGUCCUGAGGAUGACGCAGUCUGUAGAGGAGGAUGUCUUUAUCCCUCUGUAUCCGAAAAGGAUCUCACCUUCCACUUACAACAAUUUUAGGCAGUUAUUUUGUUCAUGUGGAAAAGCAAAAUGCUAAUUCAGCUGAAUGCAGGUGCCACUGUAUAUAA
rnacentral:lncRNA from 7 species